rnacentral:rRNA from 1 species
CUUUCCUACGGGACGCAGCAGUAAGGAAUCUUCCACAAUGGACGAAAGUCUGAUGCAGCAACGCCGCGUGGGUGAAGGAGCGUUUCGGCGCGUAAAGCCCUGUCAGCGGGGAAGAAGGAAGACGGUACCCGACCAAGAAGCCCCGGCUAACUACGUGCCAGCAGCCGCGGUAAUACGUAGGGGGCGAGCGUUAUCCGGAAUUACUGGGUGUAAAGGGAGCGUAGACGGCGAGGUAAGCCUGAAGUGGAAGCCCGCGGCCCAACCGCGGAACUGCUUUGGGAACUGUUUUGCUGGAGUCUGGGAGG